rnacentral:rRNA from 1 species
UACGGAGGAUCCGAGCGUUGUCCGGAUUUAUUGGGCGUAAAGAGCUCGUAGGCGGUUUCGUAAGUCGGGUGUGAAAACUCUAGGCUCAACCUGGAGACGCCACCCGAUACUGCGAUGACUAGAGUCCGGUAGGGGAGUGUGGAAUUCCUGGUGUAGCGGUGAAAUGCGCAGAUAUCAGGAGGAACACCAACGGCGAAGGCAGCACUCUGGGCCGGAACUGACGCUGAGGAGCGAAAGCGUGGGUAGCGAACAGG